CUAAAAAACUGUCAAAUGGUAACAGCCCUACUUUCUACGCCAGGAAAACCCACUGUUGAGUUAGUUGGCUCUGAUUCCAAUGGUCUCAUCAGCUUUCUGAACGUAGGUACCUCAGCAGUGCCUCUUCCAAGAUAACAAAAUGAACUUUUAGAGAUUAAAAAAAUACAUUUUGGCAAUUGAAACUCACCAGCGCCUUUCUGCUUCUCCAGGAAGUUGUACCCGUCAGCACCUGCUGAGGGCUUUGUUGUCCAAACUCUGACAGGUAAAAAAAUUCCUGUAGAAUAAAGCCAGACCAGCUGGCUUUGAAGAGAAACCCCCCAGUUUGGGCUGCGUUUGUCUCCUCUCCUUUUCUAUGAAGACCCAGGCUUUCCCCCCUUGAUCGUCAAGCCGUAAGAUGCGUGAUCCCUGUGCACAAGUGUCUGGCAGGCCGAGGUGCACCUGUUCCUGUCACUCUGGAGUAAAUUUAGCUGUAAAGGUAUCACUGACAACCAGACCUUUGUCAGAGCUGGCAAAAGAACACAGAACUGCUGCCCUCCCCCACCCCUUCCAAACCCCUUCGCUGCUCGUUCAAAUGGAAAAUGUCAAAUCGGAAGUCUAUCCAAAAAUCAUUCCUGAAAAAAUGAGAUUGCUUUCAUAUGGUAAAAAGGCACCACUUUCAGAUAAAAACAUAGACCUGAAUGGCAUCAUCCAGUAUCCAAGGAAACCAUGCACUGUGGUGUAUCCUGAGCAGGACCGAGACAAGGGUGUUUUUCUUAAGAGCCACUGAUUUAGUCAAUUAUCAAAAAUCACAUUAUAAUAAAUGCUGUUCUAAGAAUUUUGAUUAACCUUUA
rnacentral:lncRNA from 1 species